rnacentral:rRNA from 1 species
AACGAACGCUGGCGGCAGGCUUAACACAUGCAAGUCGAGCGCGGUCUUUCGGGACUGAGCGGCGGACGGGUGAGUAACGCGUGGGAACGUGCCCUUCUCUCUGGAAUAGCCCUGGGAAACCGGGAGUAAUGCCGGAUACGCCCGAUGGCAGCGAUGUCGUGGGGGAAAGAUUUAUCGGGGAAGGAUCGGCCCGCGUCGGAUUAGGUAGUUGGUGGGGUAACGGCCUACCAAGCCGACGAUCCGUAGCUGGUUUGAGAGGAUGACCAGCCACACUGGGACUGAGACACGGCCCAGACUCCUACGGGAGGCAGCAGUGGGGAAUCUUGGACAAUGGGGGCAACCCUGAUCCAGCCAUGCCGCGUGAGCGAUGAAGGCCUUAGGGUUGUAAAGCUCUUUCAGCGGGGAAGAUAAUGACGGUACCCGCAGAAGAAGCCCCGGCUAACUCCGUGCCAGCAGCCGCCGUA